UGUAUGUUUUUGCAGCUGGCAUCAAGACAAGGAGCAGGCAUGGAGGCUGAUAGUGAGUGAAACAGGCAAAGCUCAAGGCAGUGGAGGCUCCUCCAACCAGGCUCCGGCAUUAGGGAGUUGAGCAUGCAGAGUGGCAAGGCCAAGGCAAGGAACUCACUACUGAGAAGACUGCAUGUCUACGUCCCGAAAGAUCUAUCCGCUGCCUUCGACACCAUGAACUAUCACAUCCUCCUCUCCACCCUGCGUCGCAGGCUCUGCACACUCUUGGAUUGCAUCCUACCUGCCAGGCUGCUUCUACCAGAUGUGGUAUGCAGUGCACUCCUCCCUCAUCAUGGCUCUACAGUAUUCCCUCUCCCAGUCAGAACAACCCAGGCGGCCUCUACUCCUCUUAUCAGAUGGAGUCAGGCAGGCAGGAUGGGACGGGGACAGUGUGGAUCCAGCUGCUCCCAGGAGCAGGGUGCAGGCCCACGUAAUAGGUCUGCUGGCAUCCCAGGCCUCGCCCCACUGGCAUCCCAGUCACAGCCAGGCAGGCUGCUCCAUGGGUGGCACACCUUGGAAACAGGCGGCAGAGACAGAGGAGGUGGACACGGGGGAGACAGCCUCUUCAUGUUCCUGCAUGUUCCCACCCUCCACCCCUUCCUCUCUACAUGAUCCUGCAGGUGAAGGGAACCUUCAACGCCGGGUGACUCUAGGUACCAUGAUGACACUGCUUGUCACGACUCCUACUGAAGGUGGCUCCUCUCCCUGUUCGGGUGGCACUCGGCGGUCGUCGUCACCGGCCUACUUGCUGCCACCGAUCCCUUUUUCCUUUUCUGUUUGUUUUGACUAAUUAGUUUCACCUGUUUUCGUUUAGGCUUAUUAGUUGGGCUAUUUAAGCCAGUAGGCCCGCCUGCUCUGUGUGCGGGCUUAAUUAUUUCCUUCCACUGUGGUGUGUGUGUUGGAUAAGUGUACUUUGGGCAUUUUGUGUUUUGUGCGCCCGGCAUUUCGGUGUAUACGUUUGUGCG
rnacentral:lncRNA from 1 species